UACAGAGGUCUCAAGCGUUGUUCGGAUUCAUUGGGCGUAAAGGGUGCGUAGGCGGCGCGGUAAGUCGGGUGUGAAAUCUCGGGGCUUAACUCCGAAACUGCAUUCGAUACUGCCGUGCUUGAGGACUGGAGAGGAGACUGGAAUUUACGGUGUAGCGGUGAAAUGCGUAGAUAUCGUAAGGAAGACCAGUGGCGAAGGCGGGUCUCUGGGCCACUACUGACGCUGGAGAAGCGAAAGCAUGGGGAGCGAACAGG
rnacentral:rRNA from 1 species